rnacentral:lncRNA from 1 species
UACAUGUACAAUAGACACAUUUUGUACAUGUAUUACAUGUAUAUACAUGUGCGUCAUCUUCUUCUUCUAAUUAUUGCAACAACCUCCAAUAUGGGAUAUUUUAAGUUGCAGGUGCGUAGUGGCUAGUUGACUCUUCUUUUGAUUACUGCAACAACUUCCACUAUGGGAUAUUUUAAGGCACUAAAGGAUAUUUUUAGGUACUAUGGGAUAUUUUAUGGCACUGUGGGAUAUAGGAUAUUUUAAGGCACUAUGGGAUAUUUUAAGGCGCUAUGAGAUAUUUUGAGGCACCAUGGGAUAUUUUAAGGCACUAUGGGAUAUUCUAAGGCACUAUGGGAUAUUUUAAGGCACAGUGGGAUAUCUUAAGGCACUAUGGGAUAUUUUGAGGCACCAUGGGAUAUUUUCUUUGUAUAUGUACACACCAGUACCGUAGUAUGUAUGUUGAUGCACAGGUGCAGAGAAGGUACAUGUAUGCAGGAUUUUGACCAUGUAUGGUACAUAACCAUUUUCUUGCUAUUAACCAAAAAUGCAUUUGGUGCAUUGUUCCCUCUUUUUAGCUUUUGUUUGUUGGAGGAAGUGCUUGGUCUUUUGACAAAAUGACAGAGCUUGUGCAUUCAAGAAUACCCGGAACUGUGGAUCAAACAUGCAACUUCUUUGCAAGAAUUGACUCUACGUGACCUCGCCACCAGUGCUCUUCCAGCAAUUCUACUUUCCGCCAAAGCCAACUCUACCACUGCCAAGUACAUGUCCACCUGGUGUCAUUGGGAGUCCUGCACAAACUUCAAGCCUGGUAUCCCGGCCUUUCCUGCACAGCUAUUUCAUCUCUGCCUCUACAUCACAUGUGUCGCAACAUCCUUGGGGGCCGAGUCUGCAGCAAAGUUACUUUCGGCAGCAGUGAAGUGGGUGCACAGCUUGGCAAGUCUGGAAUCACCAACUGCUGAGGACCCCUGUCCAAACAGCUGUCCAGGGCUAUAAUCACAUCAACGCUUCACCUACAUGUAUUAUCUGAAAGGAGCCAGUUACUCCGGACAUUUUGGUAAAGUUGGUCAUUCCAGCACUUCAUCAGCGGAUCUUUGCAUCUUGUUUAUUUCUUUUAUUAGCUACACUGGUUUUCUUAGAUUUAAUGAAAUCAGCACCAUCAGAUGCAAUGAUUGUAAAUUUGUUUUUAUAAUGACAGCCUCGAACACUUUAAUACCAAGAUCAAAAACCAAGAAAUUUAGACAUGGGUCUGACGUCACAAUUGCCAGAACCCACAAAGCCACCUGCCCCAUAUCCAUUACUAAAAGAUAUAUCUCUGCUUUAGUAGAUCCUGGUGAUUCAGAGUUGCCCCUCCUUUACAGACUCACUAAUUCCAAAAAAAGGCCUCAUCCCCACCCCAUACAACCUCAGCUACACCAGAACAUGCGAGACAAUUCUGGGUGCUCUCAAACCUUUCCUGACCGAUAUAACCUGUUAUGGUCUUCACAGUCUUUGGUCCGGUGGUGCCUCGGCAGCAUGCAAUGCUCACGUGCCUCCCGAAUUAAUAUCAAGACAAGGUAGAUAGAAAACUGUCAAGGCUCAUGAUGCAGAUUUAAAGCUCGAUCUUGUAAAGACCCUUUAAUAGGUUUGAACCCUUUUAUAAAUUUAUUCACCAUCGAUAAAUUCCAGCCUGUACGCCCUACGACUAAAAAAGAAAAAAAAAAAGGAAUUAAAUUGUCAGGUUGAGUUUUAUACUCUUACA